UACAGAGGGUGCUAGCGUUAAUCGGAUUUACUGGGCGUAAAGCGUGUGUAGGCGGUUUGUUAAGUCGGGUGUGAAAUCCCUGGGCUCAACCUGGGAAUUGCAUUCGAUACUGGCAAGCUAGAGUACGGUAGAGGGCGGCGGAAUUCCGGGUGUAGCGGUGAAAUGCGUAGAUAUCCGGAGGAACACCGAUGGCGAAGGCAACCGCCUGGGCCUGUACUGACGCUGAGACCCGAAAGCGUGGGGAGCAAACAGG
rnacentral:rRNA from 1 species